CCUACGGGAGGCAGCAGUGGGGAAUAUUGCACAAUGGGCGAAAGCCUGACGCAGCGACGCCGCGUGAGGGAUGAAGGUCUUCGGAUCGUAAACCUCUGUCAGCAGGGAAGAACGGUCACUUUGCUAAUCAGUAGUGAAUUGCCGGUACCUGCAAAGGAAGCACCGGAUAACUCAGUGCCAGCAGCCGCGGUAAUACGUAGGGGGCGAGCGUUAACCGGAGUUACUGGGCGUAAAGCGCUCGUAGGCGGUCUGGCAAGUCAAGGGUGAAAUCCCCGCGCUCAACGUGGGAACUGCGUUUGAAACUGGCAAACUGGAGUGUGUGAGAGGAUAGUGGAAUUCCAGGUGUAGGAGUGAAAUGCGUAGAUAUCUGGAGGAACAUCAGUGGCGAAGGCGACUAUCUGGAACAUAACUGACGCUGAGGCGCGAAAGCGUGGGUAGCAAACAGGAUUAGAUACCCGAGUAGUC
rnacentral:rRNA from 1 species